GUGGGGAAUAUUGGACAAUGGGCGAAAGCCUGAUCCAGCCAUGCCGCGUGUGUGAAGAAGGUCUUCGGAUUGUAAAGCACUGUAAGUUGGGAGGAAGGGCAGUAAGUUAAUACCUUGCUGUUUUGACGUUACCGACAGAAUAAGCACCGGCUAACUUCGUGCCAGCAGCCGCGGUAAUACGAAGGGUGCAAGCGUUAAUCGGAAUUACUGGGCGUAAAGCGCGCGUAGGUGGUUUUGUAAGUUGGAGGUGACAUCGCCGGGCUCAACCUGGGAACUGCCUCCAAAACUGCAUGACUAGAGUACGGUAGAGGGUAGUGGAAUUUCCUGUGUAGCGGUGAAAUGCGUAGAUAUAGGAAGGAACACCAGUGGCGAAGGCGACUACCUGGACUGAUACUGACACUGAGGUGCGAAAGCGUGGGGAGCAAACAGGAUUAGAUACCCGGGUAGUCC
rnacentral:rRNA from 1 species